rnacentral:SRP_RNA from 2 species
GCCAGGCGUGGUGGCUCAUGCCUGUAAUCCCAGCUACUCAGGAGGCUGAGGCAGGAGAAUUGCUUGAACCCAGGAGGCAGAGGUUGCAGUGAGCUGAGAUCGUGCCACUGCACUCCAGCCUGGGCUACAGAGCGAGACUCUGUCUUAA